GUUUGAGAGAAGGGAUGACACAGUAGGAUAAGCUAAGCACACUGUUGGUUAUGUGUGCCCAAGCAUUGAGGCAGUCAAAGUAGGCAAAUCCGCUUUGAUAAUGCUGGGAUGUGAUGGGGAGCGAAAUGUAGUAGCGAAGUAGCUGAUUUCACACUGUCAAGAAAAGUCUCUAUCGAGGUUAAAGGUACCCGUACCGCAAACCGACACAGGUGGGUGAGGAGAGUAUCCUAAGGCCA
rnacentral:rRNA from 1 species